rnacentral:rRNA from 1 species
AGUGAACGCUGGCGGUAGGCCUAACACAUGCAAGUCGAACGGCAGCACAGUAAGAGCUUGCUCUUACGGGUGGCGAGUGGCGGACGGGUGAGGAAUACAUCGGAAUCUACUUUUUCGUGGGGGAUAACGUAGGGAAACUUACGCUAAUACCGCAUACGACCUACGGGUGAAAGCAGGGGAUCUUCGGACCUUGCGCGAUUGAAUGAGCCGAUGUCGGAUUAGCUAGUUGGCGGGGUAAAGGCCCACCAAGGCGACGAUCCGUAGCUGGUCUGAGAGGAUGAUCAGACACACUGGAACUGAGACACGGUCCAGACUCCUACGGGAGGCAGCAGUGGGGAAUAUUGGACAAUGGGCGCAAGCCUGAUCCAGCCAUACCGCGUGAGUGAAGAAGGCCUUCGGGUUGUAAAGCCCUUUUGUUGGGAAAGAAAAGCAGCAGGUUAAUACCCCGCUGUUCUGACGGUACCCAAAGAAUAAGCACCGGCUAACUUCGUG